rnacentral:lncRNA from 1 species
AUGCCUUCUGUACGUGAUAGUUGCAUUGUGACUGGGUUCUUUUGAUCGUCAAAUUGCCACGCAUUAUAUAAUAAAGGAAAGAUAUAAAACCAUAAAAGAGUAACACUCAUUAUAUAUAUAACAGUAUUCAACAUAAGAACAACCAACUAGGGGCCGGUGCUCAGAUGGUACGUACAAGCCAAAAUACAAACACUAAAAGAACAGAAGACUAAACCUCCGUUUCUUAUUCCCAACAUUUUAUCUAUUAAUGCUGGUCAGUAACCAGACACUUGAUUAAUUAGUUCUCAGUUGGAGGCUUGUGCGGUGGCUUUUGGGGCGGCUUAUGGGGUGGCAGGUGUUUUAAUGGUGGUUUCUCUCCCUUUCCUUUAUAUGAAUCCUCAACUAACUCUUCCUCAGCCAAAAGAUGUCCAUGUGGUGGCUUGUGGGGUGGCUUGUGUUUUGGUACUGGUUUCUGUCCCUUUCCUUUAUAUGAAUCCUCGGCUAGCUCUUCCUCAGCCAAAAGAUGUCCAUGUGGCGGCUUAUGCUUUGGUGGUGGCUUAUUACCCUUAUGUGAGUCCUCUACAACCUCUGUAGCUAAAAGACGUCUGAGGGGUGGUUUGUGCUCUGGUGGUGGCUUGUGCGGUGGUUUGUGCUCGGAUGAUGGCUUUUGAGGUGGAAAAUUCUUAGGAGGUGGUUUCUCUCCCUUACCCUUAAAUGGCGGUUUUUGGAAGUCCUCUACGCUAUCCUCGCUUAAUAGGUGCCCAUGUGGUGGCUUGUGUGGUGGUUUGUGCUCUGGUGUUGGCUUUUGAGGUGGAAAAUUCUUAGGUGGUGGCUUUUGAGGUGGAAAAUUCUUAGGAGGUGGGUUCUCUCCCUUACCCUUAAAUGGUGGUUUUUGGAAGUCCUCUUCGCUAUCCUCACUUAAUAGGUGACCAUGUGGUGGCUUGUGUGGGGGGUUGUGCUCUGGGGGUGGCUUUUGAGGUGGGAAAUUCUUAGGUGGUGGCUUUUGAGGUGGAAAAUUCUUAGGAGGUGGGUUCUCUCCCUUACCCUUAAAUGGUGGUUUUUGGAAGUCCUCUUCGCUAUCCUCACUUAAUAGGUGACCAUGUGGUGGCUUGUGUGGUGGGUUGUGGUCUGGUGUUGGCUUUUGAGGUGGAAAAUUCUUAGGAGGUGGUUUCUCUCCCUUACCCUUGUAAGGUGGAUCAUGGACAUCCUCUACAUUAUCCUCACUUAACAGAUGACCAUGUGGUGGCUUGUGCUGUGAGUGGUGGUGAUCAUAAUGAUCAGCUAAUGAAGAAGAAAUGGAGAGAAUCACGACUGCUCCAAUAAGGAGCAACACUCGCAAGUUUUUAGAAGAGAACAUGUUUGA